AAUGUGGCAUACGGAGUCCAAAAUGCCUUCCUCAAUGACUUUAUAUACAAGACCAUUUCUAUUCUGGACCUCCCAGAAACUGAUAUUAUCUCCUAUUUCCCAGAAUGUUUUGAGUUUAUUGAGAAAGCCAAGAUCCAGAAUCUUCACUGAAGAACUCCAGAGUAUGCAAGAAGCGUGCGACUGAAACUACAGGAUGUUCUAAAAUCUGCCUCUGUGCCUAGCUGUUUGCUGCCUUGCUAUGUUUUUAACCUGGUAACAAGAUACAGUCAAGUUCCUUUCCAUAUUGUAAAUAAAAUCUAUUUUAAAAUUGGCAUCCAGUUAGAUUAGAUAUCUUUGUAUCCCGGACGUCUGUUGAUGUGGUUUUUACAUGAGGGGGCUGCUGCAAGGUCUUGGGGAAGGGACAAAGGAAUGUUUUUUAGUUCUAAGGUAUGAAUUAUGUUUGAAGUAUUUGAUAAUUAUAAAGUGGCUUUGGUUAGAAAAAUAUUUUAAUUUUGGGCUUCUAUAUCUGUGUUUGGAGUUACUCGUAUGUGUAAAUAUUUGCUUUGAGCUCAGCAAGGAGCUUUUAAUAAGUCUUAAUAGAUUUUUAUAUAAAGUUUCUAUUACUUGUUGCUAUCUACCUAAUGAAUAUCCCAACUUAUGU